AUGAGAGUUUGAUCCUGGCUCAGAACGAACGCUGGCGGCAGGCUUAACACAUGCAAGUCGAACGAUAUAGUGGCAGACGGGUGAGUAACGCGUGGGAACGUGCCUAUUGGUUCGGAAUAGCCCCGGGAAACUGGGUGUAAUACCGAAUGUGCCCUUCGGGGGAAAGAUUUAUCGCUAAGAGAUGGACCCGCGUUGGAUUAGAUAGUUGGUGAGGUAACGGCUCACCAAGUCGACGAUCUUUAGGGGGUCUGAGAGGAUGAUCCCCCACACUGGUACUGAGAUACGGACCAGACUCCUACGGGAGGCAGCAGUGGGGAAU
rnacentral:rRNA from 1 species